GCAAUACACUUUCUAUGAAAUCACUUCUAAGGUUCAAAUGCGUUUGCAAAUCAGGUUAAAACGUUUUUGUAAAUUAGGGUGUUCUUUAAUUGAAGAUGACAUAUUCAUCGAUCUUCAUCGAUAUCUAUGAAAAAGUGAUACAAAUAUACAAAAAUUAUUGGUGCCUUUGUUUUGCAAGAAGGAUGAUCCUUACAACUACUCCUCCGUAGACGCUCUACUUCAACAUGAUUCUGUUGUUUCUCUUGUUGAGGAUGUUCUUUAAUUAAAGAUGGCAAAUUCCUCGAUCUUCGUCGAGAUCUAUGCAAAAGUGAUAUAAAUAGACAAAAAUUGCUGGUGUCUUCGUUUUGCAAGAAGGAUGAUUCUUACUACUACUCCUCCGUAGACGCUCUACUUCAACAUGAUUCUGUUGCUUCUCUUGUUGAGGUAAUUCCUUGAAUCAACUAUGAUCAAUUUAGUAGGGUAUGUAUUAUUUCUCGCAAUGGCAUAAUACUUUUCAUAUAAAGAUUUUCCGCCGCUCACUAAAUUAUGUGGUUAAUGAGAUUUGUAAAUUGUUUGUUCGUAUUUGGAGAAGAAUCAACAAAAUAGCUAAUAGCAUAAAAUCAGAUUCAAGUAAAGUAUAAAGGAAUUUUUCCUUUAUGAUGAAGUUAUUUUAUGGAGUCCAACUACUGGAGAAUCAAAAAAAAAAAGAAAUCCUUAGUCUAAUUUUUUUUCUAAUCCUUAGACAUUAUUAUUUCCGGGUAGAAUUAAAUUUGGGGAUAAUCCACAACUGUAUAUUGUAGGAGAAAAUCUUUGUUUGACUCGAUUUUAUAUUUUGAAGUUUGGUAUAUGGAAAAGAAUGCAUCAUGGAGUAAGAUUAUGGUUGAAUUAAUAAACUAUACAAAUUAUUAUGAA